GGGAGUGUGGUGAAAAUGGUAAACACGUCUGAUUUAGGAUCAGGUUUAUGCAGGUUCAAAUCCUGUCGCUACUU
rnacentral:tRNA from 1 species